GUGAGAUUGAGCUUUGGGAUAAUCUACUAAAUGUAGCUAAGAUCAACGCAACUCCUGGUUCUUCCUGCCACUGUGUUGAACCUGGGUGGUUCAGGUUAUGUUUUUCGACAUUAAGUGAGAAGGACAUUUCCGCAGUUAUGCAACGUAUCCAGAAAGUUUUGGAGUUACGUAAGUCUCUGAGUUAAGUUGCUAAUGAUAUGAUCCCUUACAUUAGUCAACCGUGUAAUCAUAGGUCCAAAACUUCUGCAGAGAUUUUAAGGGUCG
rnacentral:misc_RNA from 1 species